AGAGUUUGAUCCUGGCUCAGAAUGAACGUUGGCGGCGUGGAUUAGGCAUGCAAGUCGUGCGGAAAGGCUCCUUCGGGAGUACUCGAGCGGCGUAAGGGAGAGUAACGCGUGGAUAUCUACCCCCUGGUCUGGGAUAGCGGCGGGAAACUGCCGGUAAUACCAGAUAAUGUCUGCGGACCAAAGGUGUGAUUCCGCCGGGGGAUGAGUUCGCGUCCUAUUAGCUAGUUGGUGGGGUAAUGGCCUACCAAGGCAAAGAUGGGUACCGGGUGUGAGAGCAUGGCCCGGCUCACUGGGACUGAGACACUGCCCAGACACCUACGGGUGGCUGCAGUCGAGAAUCUUCGGCAAUGGGCGAAAGCCUGACCGAGCGACGCCGCGUGCGGGAUGAAGGCCUUCGGGUUGUAAACCGCUGUCAGAGGGGAGGAAAUGCAUGAGGGUUCUCCCUCGUGUUUGACCUAUCCUCAGAGGAAGUACGGGCUAAGUUCGUGCCAGCAGCCGCGGUAAUACGAACCGUACGAACGUUAUUCGGAUUCACUGGGCUUAAAGGGUGCGUAGGCGGCUGGGAAAGUUGGGUGUGAAAGCCCUCGGCUCAACCGAGGAAUUGCGCCCAAAACUUCCUGG
rnacentral:rRNA from 1 species